rnacentral:rRNA from 1 species
CAGCAGCCGCGGGAAUACGGAGGGUGCAAGCGUUAAUCAGAAUUACUGGGCGUAAAGCGCACGCAGGCGGUCUGACAAGUCAGAUGUGAAAUCCCCGGGCUUAACCUGGGAACUGCAUUUGAAACUGUCAGGCUGGAGUCUUGUAGAGGGGGGUGGAAUUCCAGGUGUAGCGGUGAAGUGCGUAGAGAUCUGGAGGAAUACCGGUGGCGAAGGCGGCCCCCUGGACAAAGACUGACGCUCAGGUGCGAAAGCGUGGGGAGCAAACAGGAUUAGAUACCCCAGUAGUCCCUGUCUCUUAUAC